UACGGAGGGUGCGAGCGUUGUCCGGAAUCACUGGGCGUAAAGGGCACGUAGGCGGCCUGAUAAGUAGGGGGUGAAAUCCUGCGGCUUAACCGCAGGGCUGCCUUCUAAACUGUCAGGCUCGAGCACAGUAGAGGCAGGUGGAAUUCCCGGUGUAGCGGUGGAAUGCGUAGAGAUCGGGAAGAACAUCAGUGGCGAAGGCGGCCUGCUGGGCUGUUGCUGACGCUGAGGCGCGACAGCGUGGGGAGCAAACAGG
rnacentral:rRNA from 1 species